rnacentral:lncRNA from 1 species
CAACAGAAGUAGAUGUUGGUGGUAUGACAGCAGAGCCUGAACGUUCCCACCAAUAUUCCAUUGUACGUUGUUGCCGUGUGACAGAUGGAGCAGAGGGGCAGUCUGACAGAAUGGUGUCUGACAUGAAGUGUGGAUGAAGCAAAGGUGUAUCACUGAAUUCAUCCACAUGGACAAAAUGGCACCCACUGACAUUCAUGAACACUUGCUGAACAUUGAUGGCGACAAAUCAAUGGAUGGAAGUACAGCAAGGCAGUGGUUGUUUCCAUGGACAUGAACAGGAGGUAUUACUUUCAGAGAGGACCAAGACAAUUCCUCUUCACUCAGGGCAGCGCAGGGGAAGGUUGGCCACCAAUGCUGCAGAGAAGACCACAGGCUGUUUUUAUCUGCGAACAAUACGUUGUCUUUACAGGCAACUUGAACUGUUUCUGUAGGUGAACAAACUGAAUGAAUAAAAACCUCAGAGCACUAAUCGAGUAAUUGUUUCCUCUACUGCACACUGACUUCACCUCUGGGUGACAUUAUGUUUCCAAUGCUCAAUGGCUGUGGUUAACAAGGUAGAAAGGGCAUUUAUAGAACAACAACCUUGUUCCAAGCACAAAAAAAUGCUUGAGUCAUCCCUUGGACUUCACUUUUUCUUUCCUCCUCCACUACCUAUGCCUUCCCAUUUGCUUAUCAGUCCCUCCAGAACAUGAGAUCCCUACAGCAAUGCCAUCUCUUACUCAUGCUUUACUCAUUUCCCAUCAUGGCAAU